rnacentral:tRNA from 3 species
GUGGCAUUAGCUCAGAUGGAUAGAGCAGCGGCCUUCUAAGCCGUCGGUCGCAGGUUCGAAACCUGCAUGCCGCGCCA